rnacentral:rRNA from 1 species
CCGCCCGUCACAUCACGAAAGUGGACUGCACUAGAAGCCGGUGUGCCAACCGCAAGGAGGCAGCCGUCCAAGGUAUGGUUCAUGAUUGGGGUGAAGUCGUAACAAGGUACCC